GGCCUGUUUUUGCCACCCUGGCGCCCCGAACUCUGUGCCGCCGCACCCUUCACCCAGUCUUGGGACGGCUGGCGCUAAGAAUUCAUGCUAUGACCUUCGAUUCAGCCAGGAGGUGACACCAAGCUCGAUCAGAAACUAUGCCACUGGUGAAGAGGUAUAUUGAGCCCUGCGUGGCCCAGUGAGGUUACUAGAGAAUUGGAAGAGUCUCAAAUCAGCAUCCUGCACAUGGUUAUCAAACCAUUGUGAAGUCUUAGUAAGUGGUCAGUGGCUCUGGUGGGCUUGCCCAGUUAGUGUCUUAACAGGCACUAGGCAGUUACUUGAUAUUUUCCCAUUAUGAUAUGAAAAAGUUUUUUGUUUUUUGUUUUUUUAGGGCUGUACCCGUGGCAUAUGGAGGUUCCCAGGCUAGGGUUCAAAUUGGAGCUGUAGCUAUAUGCAGGCCUACACCACCCACAGCUAUAGCAACUUGGGAUCCGAGCUGCGUCUGCAACCUACGCCACAGCUCACGAGAGUGCUGGAUCCUUAACCCACUGAGAGAGGCCAGGGAUUGAACCUGUGUCCUCAUGGAUACUAGUUGUGUUCUUAACCCACUGAGCCACAAUGGGAACUCCAAAAAACAGUCUUUAUUUCAGACUAGAGAGUGAAGAGCCUAAUCUCUCUCUUUCCCCGUCUCCCAUUUUUGCAAUGAUAUCUUGCCCACCAUAAUAGUUGGUGUAGAAAAUGGAUUUGAAUCCAAGCCCAAUAUUGUUUCUUCCACCUAGUGCUUCCUCUAGAUUCCACCUAAGUCCAAGGAGGCGAUGUGAGACAGAAACAUUUUUAUUCCACAUGGAAAGAUUAUAAUAGCCUCUGACAUUGUGCUCCUCUGAUGAAGGAAAUGUCCAUGGUAUAAAUUUUUAUUGUGCAUAAAAUCACCUGGGAAGCUUGUUAAAAAUGCAGAUUCCUAGGCAGCUAGAAGCCUUGUCAUUGGUCCAGAGCAACAUGAAGACCUACCUGUCACUUACACUGAGGCUUCCUGCCCAGUGGGUUCACCAGCAAGCCAGAAGGAAGCAUCACUGCCAUGGAUGUCCUUGUGAGGCAGUUGUGAAGCCUUGGAGAGCUUUAGAAACAACUUGUCAAGUUUUCACCACAAAUACCAUUGGAGUUACAAUUGGAGUCUCACUGAAUUAUACAGUAAUUUUUGGAGAGCUAUCAUCUUUAUAAUCUUCUCAUACAUGAAUGUGUCUUGGCUACUUGUAGAUGUUGCAUUGCUGCUGCCGCUGCUGCUGUUACUACAACUACAAUUGCUGCCAGUUGCUCCUUGCGUAGGACCAGAGUGAUCAUUCAUCAGAAACCUCAUCCUCACAGUCUGGGGUUUGUUCCUGUGGCUGGUAUUCACAGUUUUCCCCUUCCAACUUUACCUCAGCUAUCCCCUUACCUACAUUAACAGGAGUUGCUGGUAGAAGACUUCAUGAAGGAGAGAAGAAAAGGAAAAAAUCAGAGGAUGACUACAGCCUCCUUCAUCUCAGCUUUGCAAAGCAUUACUCAACAGAGGGAUCACUCUCUUGAAUACUCUCCAGACCACAGGCCAUCAGUCUAUUACAGGCUCUAACUGGGAGGAGCCUUAUUGUGAAUGAAGCUUCGGUGGGUGCUAGGAGUAACACCGUGUUUCUCUGGAUAUGAGAAGAAUGGAGGGCAGAGAGCAAGGGAAGGAAGCUAUGAAAUAUUGGAGUAACAAAUGCUUGACGUUUUAGUGGGUAUUGGACCUAGAAGCCUAUAUGAUUGAAGGAAGCAAACCUGAGAGGUCUGAUGUUUGUGAGUGAAGAUAGGCGUGAACUCCUUAUUGCAAUUAAAAAUGGAGUGAGGGGGAGGAGAAAAAUGACAGAAAUCAUAAGAUCCAUUACUUCAGUGAAGGAAGCACUGAGACUUGCUUCAUAAACCUGUAAUUUUUAAAGGUAGAUUGAAGAUAAGUUGUUGUGCUGCACUAUUUCUAUUCCUACCCGUGAGAGUUACUGCCAGCCACUCUUCUCAGGUAGAUCUGCCUUUAUGGAAAUUUCUGUUGACCCACGUAAAGAAACAACCCAGAAAAACAUUUGCAACAUUGAAGAACUCUGGUUCAGUGACAGGGUGUUAAAGGAGUUGAGGAUAGAGGAAAUAGCUCAAGUAGUACCAAAUAGCUCAGGUUGGCUUUUUUUUUUCUUUUUAAUAGGAUGAUUGGGCCAGAGACAGUGGGCAGAAUGACUUCAGGCAACCCCAAACGCCAGAUAUGGCAUAAGGAAACAGUUUAAGGAAAAGGUCAAUCCUUGGACCUAGUAUUUGUGAUGCAAUAUCUUAAAUUAAAAGGAAGAGCUGCUUUGGAGAAGGGUUUUAAAAGAUUGUAUUUCAUAGAAAGAAGAAAGAUUUAGAGGAGAAACUUCCAAUUAUAUAAGAUGGGCAUUAUAACUUUUAAAGACAUCUGUUGCCUACAUGGGUCAUAGAGAUUGAUACCAGUAUCAGCCUGUGGCUGACUAGGCCAGUUUAAGUGGUUUCCUGUUUGAAGAGAGAUGCUGCCAUUCUCUCACUUUGGCAGGUAUUCACCUGCAAUGAGUCCAGUACCUGGAGGAGCAAGAAAAAAACAAGCAUCCAGGGGGACAAUAGUAUAGCCUUCUGAGUUAAGAUAGCAACUGAAAAGAUCAUGGGAUUGGCUGCACUGGGCUGGGCUUGUUUGUUUUUUCAAAAUAAAAAAGUUUUCUUUUUGAUGACAAAAGUAAGAGAUGAUCAUUGUUUAAAAAUAAAGUGAAAAGUAUAAAAGUAAAGAGUAAUGUGCUUCCUUUUACUCUAAAAAAAGUGUAUAUAACACAGUUUAAAAAUAAAAUUGACAUUGUAUUUUCUGACUUUUCUCAUUUAAAAAUAAGCAUUCUUCCAUGUCAUUAACAUUAUUUAAAAAUACAAUAUUGUGUCAUAUUUCAUAUGGAUCUAACAAAAUUUAUUUAGAUCAUCUCAUGAUGCAGAUAUUUUGGAUG
rnacentral:lncRNA from 9 species